rnacentral:rRNA from 1 species
GAUGAACGCUGGCGGCGUGCCUAACACAUGCAAGUCGAGCGGAGAUAUUCAAAGUAGUAAUACGGCGGAUAUUUUAGCGGCGGACGGGUGAGUAACACGUGAGCAAUCUGCCUUUUGCUGGGGAAUAACAUUGUGAAAACAGUGCUAAUACCGCAUGACGUGUCACCGGGACAUCCCGGAGACACCAAAGGAGAAAUCCGGCAAGAGAUGAGCUCGCGUCCGAUUAGGUAGUUGGUGAGGUAACGGCCCACCAAGCCCACGAUCGGUAGCCGAACUGAGAGGUUGAUCGGCCACAUUGGGACUGAGACACGGCCCAGACUCCUACGGGAGGCAGCAGUGGGGAAUAUUGGGCAAUGGGGGGAAACCCUGACCCAGCAACGCCGCGUGAAGGACGAAGGCCUUCGGGUUGUAAACUUCUUUGAUCAGGGACGAAACAAAUGACGGUACCUGAAGAACAAGCCACGGCUAACUACGUGCCAGCAGCCGCGGUAACAC